UACGUAGGGACCGAGCGUUGUCCGGAAUCACUGGGCGUAAAGGGCGCGUAGGCGGCCCUGGCAGUCGGUGGUGAAAGCCCGCGGCUCAACUGCGGGUCGGCCAGCCGAUACUCCAGGGCUCGAGUUUGGUGAGAGGCAGAUGGAAUUCCGGGUGUAGCGGUGGAAUGCGUAGAGAUCCGGAAGAACACCGGUGGCGAAGGCGGUCUGCUGGGCCAAGACUGACGGCUG
rnacentral:rRNA from 1 species